CGUUACUAAUAAAAAUACUAACAUUAACAAUCUCAAAAGUAGAUCUACGACUACGAUAAAAAUACGAAAAUGUGUUGAGUAAUAAGCAAAGCAUGAGUGUUGCAUGGAUUCAACAGGCCCAGCUCAGGCCUCAGGCAAGGCUUGACUGCAAAUGGAUAAAAGCAGAUAUACAAGCAAGUUUAACUAAAGAUGGUCUCAGUCGGCUCUGGAAUCAACUGGUCAAAGAUGGAGAGCUGGCUGCUGGUGACAGCAAUAUACUCAAUAGUGCAGGGGCUUUGGCAAAGAAAGGUAAGCAGAUACUUAGAAGAAUCCUUGUUUGAAAGAUUUCUUGCUCUUGACUUUGAUAGUGCUGUUCAAUAUUAGGCACUUUUCUUUCUUUGAACUCUUUUUCUAAGAAUCUG
rnacentral:sRNA from 1 species